AUCAUGGCUCAGAUUGAACGCUGGCGGCAUGCCUUACACAUGCAAGUCGAACGGCAGCACGGGUGCUUGCACCUGGUGGCGAGUGGCGAACGGGUGAGUAAUACAUCGGAACGUACCUUAUCGUGGGGGGAUAACGCAGCGAAAGCUGUGCUAAUACCGCAUACGCCCUGAGGGGGAAAGCGGGGGAUCGAAAGACCUCGCGCGAUUAGAGCGGCCGAUGCCUGAUUAGCUUGUUGGUGGGGUAAAAGCCCACCAAGGCGACGAUCAGUAGCUGGUCUGAGAGGACGAUCAGCCACACUGGGACUGAGACACGGCCCAGACUCCUACGGGAGGCAGCAGUGGGGAAUUUUGGACAAUGGGGGAAACCCUGAUCCAGCAAUGCCGCGUGAGUGAAGAAGGCCUUCGGGUUGUAAAGCUCUUUUGUCAGGGAAGAAACACCGGCUCUAACACAGUCCGGGAAUGACGGUACCUGAAGAAUAAGCACCGGCUAACUACGUG
rnacentral:rRNA from 1 species